AUUGAACGCUGGCGGCAGGCCUAACACAUGCAAGUCGAACGAGUGGCGGACGGGUGAGUAAUGUCUGGGAAACUGCCCGAUGGAGGGGGAUAACUACUGGAAACGGUAGCUAAUACCGCAUACCAUCGGAUGUGCCCAGAUGGGAUUAGCUUGUAGGUGAGGUAACGGCUCACCUAGGCGACGAUCCCUAGCUGGUCUGAGAGGAUGACCAGGAACACUAGAAAUGAGACACGGUGAAGACGCCUAGGGGAGGCAGAAGUGGGGAAUAUUGCAAAAUGGGCGAAAGCCUGAUGCAGCAAUGCCGGGGGGAGGAAGAAGGCUGUCGGGUUGUAAAGUACUUGCAGUGGGGAGGCGUUACCGGCAGAAGAAGCACCGGCUAACUCCGUGCCAGACGCCGCGGUAAUAC
rnacentral:rRNA from 1 species